GGGUUGCUCACUCAACGGUAGAGUACUUGGCUUUAAACUUACCCGACGAGUUCCGGGUUCGAGUCCCGGGCAACCCG
rnacentral:tRNA from 1 species